rnacentral:snRNA from 1 species
GGAGGUGAGGGCGAUCUGGCUGUGACAUCUGUCACCCCAUUGUUCACCAGGGUUGAUUUGGCUGAUCUGGCUAAGUGGUGUCCCCUUCCUCCGUCACCACUCCACGUGUGUCCCUCCUGAACUGCACGCUCAGUCCAAGAGGCUGACCAUUCCUGAUAGAGAAGGGCUGGUCUUUGGUCAAAGGUGUGCUAGUAGCUGCACUCCUGCUAGAACCUUCAAACAGGCUCUCAAAAGCAGGGUAGGACUAUAGUGGAGUGGGCAUUUUCCUCUGCCCAGAGAC